rnacentral:RNase_P_RNA from 1 species
GAGGUCUGCCAAGUAAUCGCCGGUUUCGGCCGGAGGAAAGUCCGAGCUCCACAGGACAGGAUGCCGGGUAACGCCCGGGAGCCGUGAGGCUACAGACAGUGCAACAGAAAACAUACCGCCUCCACGGAGGUAAGGGUGAAAAGGCGGGGUAAGAGCCCACCGGCAGUGCGGUAACGGACUGCGCAUUGAAAACCUCAUCCGGAGCAAGAUCAGACAGCGGGUUGGACGUCCUGACUUAUCCCCGCGGGUGGAUCGCUCGAGCUUCAUGGCGACAUGAAGCCUAGAUAGAUGAUUACAUAAACAGAACUCGGCUUAUGGCAGGCCUCUGUU